rnacentral:rRNA from 1 species
GAUGAACGCUGGCGGCGUGCCUAAUACAUGCAAGUCGAGCGAACAGACGAGGAGCUUGCUCCUCUGACGUUAGCGGCGGACGGGCGAGUAACACGUGGAUAACCUACCUAUAAGACUGGGAUAACUUCGGGAAACCGGAGCUAAUACCGGAUAACAUGUUGAACCACAUGGUUCAACAGUGAAAGACGGUCUUGCUGUCACUUAUAGAUGGAUCCGCGCCGCAUUAGCUAGUUGGUAAGGUAACGGCUUACCAAGGCAACGAUGCGUAGCCGACCUGAGAGGGUGAUCGGCCACACUGGAACUGAGACACGGUCCAGACUCCUACGGGAGGCAGCAGUAGGGAAUCUUCCGCAAUGGGCGAAAGCCUGACGGAGCAACGCCGCGUGAGUGAAGAAGGUCUUCGGAUCGUAAAACUCUGUUAUUAGGGAAGAACAAAUGUGUAAGUAACUAUGCACGUCUUGACGGUACCUAAUCAGAAAGCCACGGCUAACUACGUG